CAGUAUAUCAGAUCAAUCAAGGCAUGCUGAGACACGAAUUCACAUUUCUACCACUAAGGAGAGUAUCAACAUCCUAGGUUGAAAAUGGACUAGAAGAUACUGAUAAUAAUAUUGGAUUUAUGCAAUGAUGGCAGUACAGCAGAUCAUUCAAUACAUGCCGAGACAUGAAUUCACAUUUCUACCACUAUGCUAAAUAUCAAUAUCCUACGUUGAAAAUGUACUAGACGAUACUGCUAAUAACAAGGGUUUUGUGCAACGUGCGUGUAAUGGAUGGCAGUACAGCAGAUCACUCAAUACAUGCUGAGACAUGAAUUCACAUUUCUACCACUAUGCAAAACAUCAACAUCCUACGUUGAAAAUGGACUAGACAGUACUGCUAAUAAUAAUGGUUUUGUGCAACGUGCGUGUAAUGGAUGGCAGUACUGCAGAUCACUGGAGGCAUGCUGAGACAUGAAUUAACAUUUCUAUCACUUGGGAAAGUUACAACAUUUUCCGUUGAAAAUGGAAUAGAAG